AAAACGGAGAGUUUGAUCCUGGCUCAGGAUGAACGCUGGCGGCGUGCUUAACACAUGCAAGUCGAACGAACCUUCGGGUUAGUGGCGGACGGGUGAGUAACGCGUGAGAAUCUGCCCUCAGGAGGGGAAUAACAGUUGGAAACGACUGCUAAUGCCCCAUAUGCCGAAAGGUGAAACGAAUUUCGCCUGGGGAUGAGCUCGCGUCUGAUUAGCUUGUUGGUGGGGUAACAGCCUACCAAGGCUUCGAUCAGUAGCUGGUCUGAGAGGACGAUCAGCCACACUGGGACUGAGACACGGCCCAGACUCCUACGGGAGGCAGCAGUGGGGAAU
rnacentral:rRNA from 1 species